rnacentral:lncRNA from 1 species
GUUUGCGAAAAAGUUGUCUUUUUGGAAAUAAUUUUAAGCCAUUUUUUUCAAAUUGGUAUUCUUCUCCAGGGGAAAAAGCCUGUAUUCUCUAUUAACUUAAGGCACACAAUUUCACUGCAUGUAUUUAGUCCAGGUAACAGUUUUUCACUAGAGACUAUUUGAUGUGAAUAGUGUGAAAGCAUGGAUCUUGACAUUGGUGUUUUGUUUAAAUUAGGCCACGAUUUUUUAAUUUGUUGGUUUACGGAUCCGCCGACCCGAUUUUGCCGAUUUCCAGAAUAAAAAUAAAAUCACUUUUUCAUGCUUUUUUUUUUAUUUCCGCCGACCCUAACAAGUGCAUUAUCCCUGAAAAAUAAUUAAAAUAUUCUGUUUUUUUAUGAAAUGAAAUGCUUU